AUACGGAGGGUGCAAGCGUUAUCCGGAAUCAUUGGGUUUAAAGGGUCCGUAGGCGGGAAUCUAAGUCAGUGGUGAAAUCUUGCAGCUCAACUGUAAAAUUGCCAUUGAUACUGGAUUUCUUGAAUUAGUGUGAAGUGGUUAGAAUGUGUAGUGUAGCGGUGAAAUGCAUAGAUAUUACACAGAAUACCAAUUGCGAAGGCAGAUCACUAACACUAUAUUGACGCUAAGGGACGAAAGCGUGGGGAGCGAACAGGAUUAGAUACCCCUGUAGUCU
rnacentral:rRNA from 1 species